AGAAGUGAAUAUACCACCCAGAAUGUGCCCAAUCUGUUCUGGUCUCGGAAGUUAAGGGUUGGCCUGGUUAGUACUUGGAUGGGAGACCACCUGGCAGUAACGGGUGCUGUAGCCUUUC
rnacentral:rRNA from 1 species